AUUGAACGCUGGCGGCAGGCCUAACACAUGCAAGUCGAGCGGAUGAAGGGAGCUUGCUCCUGGAUUCAGCGGCGGACGGGUGAGUAAUGCCUAGGAAUCUGCCUGGUAGUGGGGGAUAACGUCCGGAAACGGGCGCUAAUACCGCAUACGUCCUGAGGGAGAAAGUGGGGGAUCUUCGGACCUCACGCUAUCAGAUGAGCCUAGGUCGGAUUAGCUAGUUGGUGGGGUAAAGGCCUACCAAGGCGGCGAUCCGUAACUGGUCUGAGAGGAUGAUCAGUCACACUGGAACUUGGACACGGUCCAGACUCCUACGGGAGGCAGCAGUGGGGAAUAUUGGACAAUGGGCGAAAUCCUGAUCCAGCCAUGCCGCGUGUGUGAAGAAGGUCUUCGGAUUGUAAAGCACUUUAAGUUGUGAGGAAGGGCAGUAAGUUAAUACCUUGCUGUUUUGACGUUACCAACAGAAUAAGCACCGGCUAACUUCGUG
rnacentral:rRNA from 1 species